ensembl:lncRNA
CUUUAGUGAGGUGUUUCUCAAUUCUGCUUCUCUGAGGGCUUUGAGGGAUUAGAGACUCCACCUCCUCUCCUACCGUGGAUGUUCCCUGAUCUUUUUUGUUUGGAGUUACUUACCUAGCAUUAUUUGGAGAGGUCUUGGAACAACACAAACAGAAUGCUGAGCAGAGAGUCGCCCAAAAGGGCUUUUUAAUGCUCUCCCUGGAUCAGCCUCUUCCCUACCCAGACAACUUUGUUUAAACUCACCGAGUCCAGUUUGCAUUCCCCGUAUAUUCUUGGAUUUAUAGCCUUUUACUGAGAAAGUGUCAUCUGCGUGCUCAGUAAAGACCAGGUAAAUGAGUAUGGCUACCUGCCCGGUGGACCAAUGCUAAGGGCC